UACGUAUGGUGCAAGCGUUAUCCGGAUUUACUGGGUGUAAAGGGGGCGCAGACGGCGCGGCAAGUCCGGAGUGAAAUCCCAGGGCCCAACCCUGGGGCUGCUCUGGAAACUGCCGGGCUGGAGUGCUGGAGGGGCAGGCGGAAUUCCUAGUGUAGCGGUGAAAUGCGUAGAUAUUAGGAGGAACACCAGUGGCGAAGGCGGUCUGCUGGACAGCAACUGACGGUAAGGCGCGAAAGCGUGGGGAGCAAACAGG
rnacentral:rRNA from 1 species